GCUACGGGAGGCAGCAGUGAGGAAUAUUGGUCAAUGGACGAGAGUCUGAACCAGCCAAGUAGCGUGAAGGAUGACUGCCCUAUGGGUUGUAAACUUCUUUUUUCAAGGAAUAAAACGAGGCACGUGUGCCUUUUUGCAUGUACUUUAUGAAUAAGGAUCGGCUAACUCCGUGCCAGCAGCCGCGGUAAUUCGGAGGAUCCGAGCGUUAUCCGGAUUUAUUGGGUUUAAAUGGAGCGUAGAUGGGUUGUUAAGUCAGUUGUUAAAGUUAGCGGCUCAACCGUAAAAUUGCAAUUGAUACUGGCAGUCUUGAGUACAGUUGAGGUAGGCGGAAUUCGUGGUGUAGCGGUGAAAUGCUUAGAUAUCACGAAGAACCCCGAUUGCGAAGGCAGCUUACUAAACUGUGACUGACAUUGAUGCUCGAAAGUGUGGGUAUCAAACAGGAUUAGAUACCCCUGUAGUC
rnacentral:rRNA from 1 species